CCUACGGGUGGCAGCAGUGAGGAAUAUUGGUCAAUGGACGAGAGUCUGAACCAGCCAAGUAGCGUGAAGGAUGACUGCCCUAUGGGUUGUAAACUUCUUUUAUAUGGGAAUAAAAUGUUCCACGUGUGGGUUUUUGUAUGUACCAUAUGAAUAAGCAUCGGCUAACUCCGUGCCAGCAGCCGCGGUAAUACGGAGGAUCCGAGCGUUAUCCGGAUUUAUUGGGUUUAAAGGGAGCGUAGGUGGAUUGGUAAGUCAGUUGUGAAAGUUUGGGGCUCAACCGUAAAAUUGCAGUUGAAACUGGCAGUGUUGAGAACAGUAGAGGUGGGCGGAAUUCGUGGUGUAGCGGUGAAAUGCUUAGAUAUCGCGCAGAACUCCGAUUGCGAAGGCAGCUCACUGGACUGCAACUGACACUGAGGCUCGAAAGUGUGGGUAUCAAACAGGAUUAGAUACCCUAGUAGUC
rnacentral:rRNA from 1 species